GGCUCUCACCAGUCCUCCCUCAGGCCCAGGUAAGCAGCCAGGAAUUUGUCCCGUCUGAGAGAAAUAUCUGUUCGGAUUAAGUUUGUACAGUGGAGUCGGCCAAGGGCGGUCUGUAGAGCCACAUCUGUCUGAGGUCUCAGGAGCUAGAGUCAGACAAGGUGUGUGUAACUAGGCAGGUUUCUUAGGGAGGCCUGGGGAGCCAAGAUUUGGCACAUACAGGUAGAAGCAGGUUGCUCAGGUAAGGACACUGGAGCCGGAAAAGGGCAGAGAGAGCAAAGUCUGACAAGUGGGGACUAGAAAUCCAUGGUCAGGUCCAGGUCAGAGCUAUGUCCUCAGGUGAUAUCCAGCAGUUCUGGUCGUGCACAACUCGGUGAUCCUAGAGGUGGUCCUGGGUCCCCUGGGAAAAGACUGAAAAGCUGGAGUCAGGCAAAAGGAAGGGGAAGGGGAACUGCAUCCAUGAAUUCUGGGUCUGGCUCAGGGAUGUAGAACAGGUCUGUGUCAGGUGGGCUUGAAGAGUUGAGGUGAGAUACAGGUUUGUACUUUGGGUUUCUACCAAGUAAGGUCUGAAUGCUGAGGUCGGGCUCUGGUUAGUAUUCUGAAUCUGAGGAGCUGGGGUCAAGCACAGGUGGGUAGAGCUGAGUUUUUCAGGUAAUAUCUAUGAAACCAAAGGCAAGCAGAGGUAGAUUGACCUGAAAAGCCAUGGUUAGGUUCAUUCAACUCUGUCUCACCAUUGAGUUUAGGCAUACGUCGGUAGACGAGAUCUGUCAGGCGAGGCCUAAGGAGCUGGUGUUAGGCUUAUGUAGAAAGAACUGUAUCUCUUAGAUGAUCUCUGAGGAUAUGAAGUGAAGUCAGGAGGACAGGGCUCAGGCUCUCAGGUGAGAUCUCAGGAACCAGGAUUGGGUACGAGUGACUAGAUCUGGAUCUCCUAGGUAAGGUCAAGAUCAGCAGAUAGAACUGCAUCUCUGCCUAUCUUGUAGAAUUAUUUUGCAAGAUUGACGAGUUGUGGCCAGGUACAGGUAUAUGGAAUUGAGUUUCUCAGGAAGGGUCUACGGAGUCUGUAAAUGGCACAGGUUUGUAUCCUUGGGACUGUCAGCAUAGUUCAGCACAGGUGAGUACAGCAGGGUUUAUCAGGUAAGGUCUGUGGAGCCAAGAUUAGGGCAGGUUCACAACACUCAAUCUGUCCAAUGAGUUCUAAUAAGUCACAGUCCAGCCCUGGGAAGAACCGAAUGUCUUAGGUGAGAUGUGAGCAACGGAGAUGAGGUAUGGGUAGGCGGAGCUAGCCCACUAGGUACAGUCUCAGAAGCAAGCACAGGUAGGUAGAAUUGCACUGCCAGGUGUGGUCUGAAGAGCCAGGGUCCAGCACUGGUAGGCAGAUCCAGCCCACCAGGCGAGGUCUGAGGACCCAGGGGUCAAGCACAGGUAGGCAAAACUGGCCCACCAAGUAUGGUCUGAGAAGCCAGGGUCAAGCCCAGGUAGGUAGAACAGGCUCACCAAGGUGAAGUCUGAGGAACCAAUGUGAAACACAGGUAGGAAGAGCUGGUCUGGCAGGUGAGGUGUGAGGAACCAGGGUCAACCAUAGGUCCACCAGGUAUGGUCUGAGGAGUCAGAGUCAAGCACAGGUAAGUAAAACCGCCAGGUAUGAUCUGAGAAGCCAAGGUCAAGCAAAGGUAGGUAGGACUGGCCUAUCAGGUGAAGUCUGAGGAACUGGAGUCAAGCACAGGUAGGCAGAUUUGGCUUGCCAGGUGAGGUCUGAGGAGCCAGGGUCAAGCACAGGUAGGUAGAAUUGGCCUGCCGGGUAUGAUCUGAGGAGCCAAAGUCAAGCACAGGUAGGUAGAACUGGUCCACAAAGGGUGGUUGGAGGAGCCAAGAUCAAGCACAGGUAGGCAGAGCUUGCCUGGCAUGUGUGGUCUGAGGAACCAGGAUCAACCAUAGGUGGGUAGAACUGGUCCACCAGGUAUGAUCUGAGGAGCCUAGGUCAAGCACAGGUAGGCAGAUCUGGCUUGCCAGGUGAGGUGUGAAGAAGCAGAGUCAAACACAGGUAGGUAGAACUGGUAUAUCAAGCAGUCUGAGGAACUGGAGUCAAGCACAGGUAGGCAGAACUGGCCUAUGAGGUGAAGUCUGAGGAACUGAGGUCAAGCACAGGUAGGCAGAUCUGCCUUGCUAGGUGAGGUCUGAGGAGCCAGGGUCAAGCACAGGUAGGUAGGUAGAACUAGCUUACCCGGUACAGUCUGAGGAACCAGGGUUAAGCACAGGUAACACCUCCAGGUACGAUCUGAGGAGCCAAGGUCAAGCAUAGGUAGGUAGAACUGGCCUAUCAGGUGAAGUCUGAGGAACUGAGGUCAAGCACAGGUAGGCAGACCUGACUUGCCAGGUAAGGUCUGAGGAACCAGGGCCAAGCAUAGAUGGGUAGAACUGACCCACCAGGUAUGGUCUGAGGAGCCAGGGUCAAGCAAAGGUAGGUAGAACUGGCUUAUCAGGUGAAGUCUGAGGAACCAGGGUCAAGCAUAGGUAGGUAGAAUUGGCUUGCCAGUUAUGGUCUGAGGAGCCAAGGUCAAGCACAGGUGAGUAAAACUAGACCACCAGGUAUGAUCUGAGGAGCCAAGAUCAAGCAAAGGUAGGUAGAAUUGGCCUAUCGGAUGAGAUCUGAGGAACCAGGGUCAUGCACAGAUAGGUAGAACUGGCCUACCAGGUAUGGUGUGAGGAGCCAAGGUCAAGCACAGGUAGGUAGAACUGGUCCACCAAGGGUUGUUGGAGGAGCCAAAAUCAAACACAGGUAGGCAGAGCUGGCCCAGCAGGUGAGGUCUGAGGAACCAGGGUAUGAUCUGAGGAGCCAAAGUCAAACAUAGGUAGGUAGAAUUGGCCCGCCGGGUAUGGUCUGAGGAGCCAGGGUCAAGGACAGGUAGGUAGAACUGGCAUAUCAGGUGAGGUCUGAGGAACUGAGGUCAACCACAGGUAGGUAGAUUUGGCUUGCCAGGUCAGGUCUGUGGAAUCAGGGUCAAGUAUAGGUAGGUAGAACUGCGCUGCCAUUUGUGGUCUGAGGAGCCAAAGUCAAGCAUAGGUAGGUAGAACUGGCCCACCAAGGGUUGUUGGAGGAGCCAAGGUCAAACACAGGUAGGCAGAGCUGGCCCAGCAGGUGAGGUCCGAGGAACCAGGAUAUGAUCUGAGGAGCCCAGGUUAAGCAUAGGUAGGUAGGACUGGUCUAUCAGGUAAAGUUUGAGGCACUUGGAGUCAAGUACAGGUAGGCAGAUUUGGUUUGCCAGGUGAGGUCUGAGGAACCAGGGUCAAAUAUAGGUAGGUAGAACUACACGACAGUGUAGUGGUCUGAGGAGCCAAAGUCAAGCAUAGGUAGGUAGAAUUGGCCCACCAGGUAUGGUCUGAGGAGCCAGGAUCAAGGACAGGUAGGUAGAAUUGGCAUAUCAGGUGAAGUCUGAGGAACUGAGGUCAAGCACAGGUAGGCGGAUUUGGCUUGCGGGUCACGUCUGUGGAACCAGGGUCAAGUAUAGGUAGGUAGAAUUGCACUAUCAUUUGUGGUCUGAGGAGCCAAAGUCAAGCAUGGGUAGGUAGAAUUGGUCCACCAGGUGAGAUCUGAGGAUCUGGGGUAAAGUACAGGUAGGUGGAACUAGCCAUUGGUCUUAAGGAUUCAGGGUCAAGCACAGGUAGGUAGAACUGGCCUGUCAGAUCAAGUCUGAAGAACUGGGGUCAAACACAGGAAGGCAGAUCUGGUUUGCCAGGUGAGGUCUGAGGAGCCAGUGUUAAUUAAGCACAGGUAGGUAGAACUGGCCCACCAGGUAUGGUCUAAGGUGUCAAGGUCAGGCACUAGUAGGUUGAACUAGCCUGUCAGGUUAAGUCUGAAGAACUGGGGUCAAACACAGGUAGGCAUAUCUGGCUUGCCAGGACAGGUUUGAGGAGCCCGGGUCAAGCAUAGGUAUGUAGAACGACCACCAGGUGCAGUCUGAGGAGCCAAGGUUAAGCACAGGUAGGCAGAGCUGGCCUGGCAGGUUAGAGGAGCUGGGGUCAGAGACAGGUAGGUAGAUGUGGCCAGCCAGGUAUGGUCUAUGUAUGGAUUCAGGGGCAUGUAAGGUAGGCAGAUCUGGUCUGCCAGGUGUGGUCUGAGGACCCAGAGUCAAGCACAGGUAGGUAGAAAUCGCCCUCCAGGUGUGAUCCAAAGACCAGAGUCAUGCACAGGUAGGUAGAAGCGGCCCACCAGAUAUGGUCUGAGGAGCUAAAGGUCAAGCACAGGUAGGCAGAAUUGGCCUGCUAGGUACAGUAUAAGGAGCCAGGGUCAUAGAAGGUAGGUAGAGCUGGCCCACCAACUGCAGUGUAAGAGCCACAGGCACGUAAAGUAGGCAGAUCUGCCCUGCCAGGUGUGGUCUCGGGACCCAAGAUCAAGCAAAGGUAGGUGGAGCUGGCCUGCCAGGUGUGGUCUGAGGAGGGAGGUAGAGUUGACUUUCAGGUGUUGGAUUCAGGCAAAGGCAUGUACCCUUGGAUCUUUGUGGUGGGGCCUGAAGAAGGUUAAGCCUGGGUGGGUGGAGUGGCCACAGGCGAGUCCCACAGCAUUGGGGUCUUUAGGUAGACAGACACUGUGGGGUUCAAGGGAGAUCUGUAAGCCCUAAGUUAGACGAGAGUAGGUAGAUGUGGCUCUCUCAAGCAUGGACUUUGGAGCCAGAGAUCUACACUUGAGUCUUGUUGGUGAAGUCCUUGGAACGUGGCUCUGGCUUAGGUGUGCUGGCCCAGGUUUUAGAGUUAGAGGGGAGGCUUGGAGAGCAUGGGUUAGUCACAGGGAGGGAGAGCCACAUCUCAAGGAGGGGGCGGGGGGGCGUCUCUAGAGCACUGGUAUACACAGAGAUACUUGUGUCUGAUGAGGUCUGAGGCUCCUCAGUGAGCGGUUGUUGCCAGGUCAAGCAGUGGCUGCUAAUGUCGGAUCUGCAAGAUGCCGAGAUCCAUGUCAGACAAGGGAUAUGGAGCUGGGUUUCUCAGGUUGGGCCUGGGAGUUGAGGUCAGGCCUGUUUAGACAGAGCUGAGUCUCUCAGGAAAGUGUGAGGAGUCUGAGUUGGGCUCAGGGAAGUACGCCCGAGUCUGUCAUCUGAGAUGUGGGGGGUCAGGCAUAGAUACGUGGAGCUGGGUACACCCGCUGAGCUUCCUGGAGCCAGUCUCUGACAGGUGUGUGACCCUGUAGUAUGAGAUACUGGAGCGGGACACAGGUAGGCAGAGCUAACCUCACAGGCGAAGCCGCUGCAUCCAUGCAGUGUCGUGAGUCCGUGGAUCCGGAGUCAUGUGGGUAGAGGUAUAUAAGUGUGAUCUUAGGUGGGUUCUUGUCACCUGGAUUCAGGUAUGAGUUGGCAUCCCUGGGCUUGUUAGGUGAAAUGAGAAGGCAAGCUCUAGCCCAGGAAUGCAUAACUGAUGUGGCCGGUGAGGCCUGAGAAUAUGGGUCAGGUGCAGGUGGGGUCCUCGGUGGUAGGAUCAGGCAUGGUUUGGGUAGCAUGGGCUGCCCUCAAGGGAAAGCCAGAGUCAUCGUAGGUAUGUGUACCUGGGUCUGCCUGGGGACCCUUAGGAUCAGGUAGGACAGAUGGAAUGCCUUGGCCAGGGCAGCUUCCUGUUCUCAGUACCCCAGUCAUGCAUGAUAGGCAGAGCUCAUGGUAUUGCAGAGGCAUGAGGAUCUCUAGCCAGUCCAGGGUGUCGUCUAUAGCACUGGGGUCUGAGUUACUCAGGUGAGGGAAAUAAUAGAAUUAUAACUAGUUAGAUAAAGUGAGGUUUGUUGUGGGAGAGGCAUAGAAUGCUGAACUGACCGAGGAGCUAUAAGGUGUGAUCUGAAAGAGCCGCUGCAGCGAACAUGAGUUCUAGAGACUGUGUCCUGUAGGUGGAGGUCUUAGAGGCUCAAGUCAGACACUGGCAUUGCCUGGCUCCCAAAAGUGAGGUCUGAUGACAUGGCUCAGCCAAAAUCAGCAGCUUGGCAGUCUGCUUUCUAGAAUUGAGUCUGUUCGGUGAGAUCUGAGAGCCCAUGUCAUACAUGGUUUGGCCCCUGGGACGGUGUCUGUCAGGUAAGGUUUCCCCAAACCUGGACUGUUUCCAGGUGAAGGGCCUCCCUGUUCAUCUCAUUACCCAGGCCAAAAACCUCUGGGCUGCACUUGAUUCUCUCAUUCUCUCAAUUCACCCUAUUUGAUUGAAGUUCCUGAAUCAGUCCUUUGCACCCUCUUCCACAGUACUGUCACAUUCCUGAUGACCCCUGGCAUUCCCUGCUUCAUUCUCCAGCGUUGCCUUUCAGCUUCUACCCUCCAGCUCCGCUGCUUCUUUCAUCUAGAAUGUGCUGUGCUUCUCUUGCCCAGCCUGUCUCAAUGGGCCUCCAAUAGAGAAUUAAGCCCUAAUGCCCCAAAGCAUCCAGGCGAUGUAAUGAAUCAGCAUCUCUUCUUUGCUUCUAGGAGAGUACUAGCCUUGGACCAUCCUUGGGACAGUUAAGAAGUGAAGUCACUGAAAGUAUUUUCUGUGGGGCUUAACUCUCUCACUAUUGAGAAAGGCUGCUCUAGCCACAGGACCUUUGCCUAUGCUGUGCUGGCUGCUGGAAUGCUUCUCCCCACUCAGUGCUUUCCUGGGUAAUGCCUGCUCAUUCCUUAGAUCCAAGCUCAAGCACUCCUCAGGUUCCUUUCAUAAUUGGUUUCACUGGUGUAUUUCCUUUCUCCCAAGCACUUAUAUCUCAUUUCACAUUUAUUGGCACGAUUAUUUCAUUUACACAUCUGGGGAGCCCCCAUGGGCUGCUUCUGUUGCUUGUGAUAGCUAUGUGGUAGGUGCUCUAUAAAUGGCUGUUAAGAAGAUGUGAAUGUUUCAGGAAGAUACCGAGUAGAAUCUGCAAGUGUGAAUGGUAGGCCUGUGUAUGUCUUGGGGCUGAGACUACGACCAGGUAUGAGCUCUGGGCCUGUCACUGUCCCAGGAGGCAGCCCUAGGCUUGGAUAUGAGGCACUGGGUCUGUCAGUAUCAGAAGGGGCAAGGCCACGCCCAGGCAUAUUAGUAUCUGAGGAGGCAGGGCCAAGGCCAGGUAGCGUUGGAUCUUUCAUUGUUCAAGGAAGUGUGCUUGGGCACAGGUAGGAGGCAUCGGGUCUGUUCGUCUGAGGAUGCAGGGCCUGGCACAGGUAGGAGGCGCUGGGUCUGUCACUGCCGAAGGAGGCCAAGCCGGGUACUGGUAUGAGAUUCUGACCUGUUAGUGCCCAGGUAGGUGGGCUCGCCACAGGUACAAGAUGUUGGGUCUGUCACUGUUCAGAGAGGCUGGAUACAGGUAUGGGAUACUAGGUCGGUCAGUGUCUGAGGAAGCAGGACCUGGCACAGGUAUGAGGUGCUGGGUCUGUCAGAGUGUGAGGAGGUAGAGCCUGGCACAGGUAUGAAGGGCUGGGUCUGUCGGUAUUUGAAUAGGCCUGGCACAGGUGUGAGGCAUUGGGUCUGUCAGCGUCUCACGAGACAUGACCAAACACGGGUAUGAGCUCUGGGUCUGUCGGUGUCUGAGGCGGCCGGGCGUGACAUAGGUAUGAGGUGCUGGGUCUGUCAGUAUUCGAAGAGGCUCGGGCACAGGUAUGAAGCACUGGCUCUGUCAGUGUCUGAGGGCCUAGACCCGGCAAGGUAUGAGAUGCUGGUCUGUUGGUGUCUGAGGAAAUGGGGCCUGGUACCAGGUAUGAGCCGCCGGGUCUGUCGGAGGAGGAGGAGGCCAGGCCUGGUGCAGGUAUGAGGCGCUGGGUCUAUCGGAGGAGAAGGCCGGGCCUGGCGCAGGUACGAGGUGCGCCGGGUCUCUCUGUGUCUGAGGAGACAGGGCCAGCCAUGGUAAGGUCUCCGGUUGGGUCUUGUGGCUCUGAUCAGUCCCACCCGUAGUCUGUCCUGUUGGUCAGCACAAAGAGUUGCCAGCGCCUGGCCUGCUGUCUUGCUUCGCAGAGGUGGGUUGGGCCUGGCCCUCCAUGCUGCACCUGUGGAAGAGCCUUGCUUUCAGGGGGCAAGUUUUGUGGCAGGAGGGAGGGGGGGCGGGGUGCGCCAA